UGCUAUUUCUGUGGAAGAGUUUGUCCCAUGAGAACCACUGUACUGGAUGUCACUUCUGUGCAGGAUGCAGCUGAUUCUUUUCUCUCCUAGUGGAUUUUGUUUUACAGAGGGAUCUUUGGUCCUGUGACUGAAAGGGCACACAGCCUGUUGCCCCCCGUUGCCUUAAACAAACAGAACUGUCUCCAGAAGGCUGUGCGCUCCUUUGUAAGAGG
rnacentral:lncRNA from 1 species